rnacentral:rRNA from 1 species
UACGAAGGGUGCAAGCGUUACUCGGAAUUACUGGGCGUAAAGCGUGCGUAGGCGGUUUGUUAAGUCCGCUGUGAAAGCCCUGGGCUCAACCUGGGAAUUGCAGUGGAUACUGGCAAGCUAGAGUGCGGCAGAGGAAGGUGGAAUUCCACGUGUAGCGGUGAAAUGCGUAGAGAUGUGGAGGAACACCAAUGGCGAAGGCAGCCUUCUGGGCCAACACUGACGCUCAUGCACGAAAGCGUGGGGAGCAAACAGG